rnacentral:rRNA from 1 species
UAACCUGCCCAAGAGAUCGGGAUAACACCUGGAAACAGAUGCUAAUACCGGAUAACAACAGAUGAUGCCUAUCAACUGUUUAAAAGAUGGUUCUGCUAUCACUCUUGGAUGGACCUGCGGUGCAUUAGCUAGUUGGUAGGGUAACGGCCUACCAAGGCAUGAUGCAUAGCCGAGUUGAGAGACUGAUCGGCCACAUUGGGACUGAGACACGGCCCAAACUCCUACGGGAGGCAGCAGCC